GUGUUUCACAAGUAUACUGCAGACACACAGCAGUGCCUUUGGCCAUUUGGUCCCCGCACUCCCAGCUCCCAGAACCUGCAUCACCUGUGCCACUGACCACGCCGCGUCCCCACACGGCCACAUAGCACCACGAGCAACUGCACCGGCAACGGAUGGACCCCAGAACCCACAGAGAAAUUACCUAAUGAGGAGAGACAGCGAAUCAGAAUCAGAAGUAGAGCAGCUGUCGUCUUAAUAGGGAACAGGUGUCUGUGGAACUAUUUGCAAGCCGGGAAGCCUCAGUCAACCAUCUUCCAGCAGAAUAAAAUACAACGUCACAAAGCACAUGUCGAAGGCUAUUUCAAAGUCAAUUCAGUGGCUUCCACAGUCAACAGACCUCAAUCCAAUAGCAUACCUCCCAACUGCCCCGCAUUCAGCGCGACAGUCCCGCUUUCCUAGGAUUGACCCUACUGUUUCACCU